AACAUCGCGCACCUGCGGGAACCUGCGGAAGGAUCACUAUUGGAAGCUUUUAUAUUAUCAAAAGUUGUGGAGGAAGAGAUUUCUCUUUCCUCUGCAUCUUUCAAACAAACAAUCACAACUAUCUGAUUGAGGGGAUUGUGUGAGGGGAUUUGAUUUGAUUUGAUGAGGGGAAGAAAAAAGUGCUUGCCUGAUAAAAAAAGAAAGACAUAUCAAAGAAUACAACUUUUAACAAUGGAUCUC
rnacentral:misc_RNA from 1 species